rfam:Turicella otitidis ATCC 51513 genomic scaffold supercont1.1, whole genome shotgun sequence.
GCGCGUUUAGCUCAGCGGGAGAGCGCUUCCCUGACACGGAAGAGGUCACUGGUUCGAUCCCAGUAUCGCGCA